UACGUAGGGGGCGAGCGUUGUCCGGAUUUAUUGGGCGUAAAGAGCUCGUAGGCGGUUCCGUGAGUCGGCUGUGAAAUCUCCACGCUCAACGUGGAGGGGUCAGUCGAUACUGCGGUGACUCGAGUCCGGUAGGGGAGUGUGGAAUUCCCGGUGUAGCGGUGAAAUGCGCAGAGAUCGGGAGGAACACCCGUAGCGAAGGCGGCACUCUGGGCCGGUACUGACGCUGAGGAGCGAAAGCGUGGGGAGCAAACAGG
rnacentral:rRNA from 1 species